ACGUUACCAUUUGUAGGCAAGCCGAAAACAACACCUCCAUUUAUCGAACACAAGUCUUGGUUUUUAGCACGAGCGCAGCAUUUUCGAGCACAAACAAAAUAUGACAGAAAACAGCACGUAACAUGACAAAACGAAUAUCUUCAGGCACAUGGAUACUAAUUAAAAACAAGUGUGAUUUACCCUUGAUCAGGAGGUGCUGGUGCUUUAUUCUAUUGGAGAAUUUUGCUGUUGGAAGUUAUCUCUUUCUCUGUGGCUAACGUGUGAAUAUUUC